ACGACUCUCGGSAACGGAUAUCUCGGCUCUCGCAUCGAUGAAGAACGCAGCGAAAUGCGAUACUUGGUGUGAAUUGCAGAAUCCCGUGAACCAUCGAGUUUUUGAACGCAAGUUGCGCCCAAAGCCUUCCGGCCGAGGGCACGUCUGCCUGGGUGUCACGCAACAU
rnacentral:rRNA from 1 species